GAAAGAUUUAAAUACAGUUGAUU
rnacentral:snRNA from 1 species